AUCACCGAAGUGAAGCAUCAUUGGGCGCGGUCAGUACUUGGGUGGGUGACCACCUGGGAACACUGCGUGCCGUU
rnacentral:rRNA from 1 species